AUUGAACGCUGGCGGCAGGCCUAACACAUGCAAGUCGAGCGGAGCGGCGGACGGGUGAGUAAGGCCUAGGAAGCUGCCUGGUAGUGAGGGAUAACGUCCGGAAACGGGCGCUAAUAACGCAUAAUAUCAGAGGAGCCUAGGUCGGAUUAGCUGGUUGGUGGGGUAAAGGCCUACCAAGGCGACGAUCCGGAACUGGUCCGAGAGGAUGAUCAGUCACACUGGAACUGAGACACGGUCCAGACUCAUACGGGAGGCAGCAGUGGGGAAUAUUGGACAAUGGGCGAAAGCCUGAGCCAGCCAUGCCGCGUGUGUGAAGAAGGUCUUCGGAUUGUAAAGCACUUUAAGUUGGGAGGCGUUACCAACAGAAUAAGCACCGGCUAACUCCGUGCCAGCAGCCGCGGUAAUUC
rnacentral:rRNA from 1 species